AGUUUAAACUUGUAUUGUUGUGAAUCUUUGGUGUAAACUCGCCUUAGAAUUGCCAACUAACAAACGCCCCCCCCCAAAAGCAGCUCAGCGCCCCUCCUAAAUAUAGCUUGCAGCGCCCUCCAUCGUCCUCAGAACGCCUCGGUACCGCCCCCGUUGAGAAACACUAUUCUACUGGAAGAUUCUCCUCAAUCCACAGAGACACGCUGGAGUUCUAAGGCCCUUCUCCCCCGAUUGCUCAAUUUGGCCGGGCGGCCAGCUCUAGGAUGAUGGAGACCAUGGUGCUCAUUGGGACCUUCAAUGCAGCAGAAAUUUUUCUGUACCCUUCCCCAGAUCUGUGCCUUGAUACAAUCCUGUCUCGGAGGUCUACAGACAUGCAAGGGUUCCAAGGUACAAUAUGUCUGUGCAGUGACUCACCAGGAGGAAGCAGGGGCUGACAAACUUCCAGCACAGCCUCCAGUACAUGCCUGGUCGCUGCCCAAUCAUCUCCUCAAUGUCAUCGCUGAAUCGGUCCACUCCUGAAACACAUGGAAACACUUGAUAUUACUUCCAAGUCAUGGUUAAAUACAACCAUUGCUAAAAUUGUCAAAUGCAUAUACUGUACUAUGUAUUAAAUUCACAGCAGGUUUGGGGUACUGUCCUUUUAUAAAUCAAAUUAAAAGUUGGCCAUGCAGAAACCCA